UUGUGACCGUUGUUACGGUCAAUUUGCAAAUUGAAAAAAUGACCGUAAUCCCGUUCACAAUA
rfam:Caenorhabditis elegans chromosome X